rnacentral:rRNA from 1 species
CAGCAGCCGCGGUAAUACGAAGGGGGCUAGCGUUGCUCGGAAUUACUGGGCGUAAAGGGAGCGUAGGCGGACAUUUAAGUCAGGGGUGAAAUCCCAGAGCUCAACUCUGGAACUGCCUUUGAUACUGGGUGUCUUGAGUGUGAUAGAGGUAUGUGGAACUCCGAGUGUAGAGGUGAAAUUCGUAGAUAUUCGGAAGAACACCAGUGGCGAAGGCGACAUACUGGAUCAUUACUGACGCUGAGGCUCGAAAGCGUGGGGAGCAAACAGGAUUAGAUACCCCGGUAGUCCCUGUCUCUUAUAA